rnacentral:rRNA from 1 species
UACGUAGGGCGCAAGCGUUAUCCGGAAUUAUUGGGCGUAAAGAGCUCGUAGGCGGUUUGUCGCGUCUGCCGUGAAAGUCCGGGUCUCAACUCCGGAUCUGCGGUGGGUACGGGCAGACUAGAGUGAUGUAGGGGAGACUGGAAUUCCUGGUGUAGCGGUGAAAUGCGCAGAUAUCAGGAGGAACACCGAUGGCGAAGGCAGGUCUCUGGGCAUUAACUGACGCUGAGGAGCGAAAGCAUGGGGAGCGAACAGG